AUUGAACGCUGGCGGCAUGCCUUACACAUGCAAGUCGAACGGUAACGCGGGGGCAACCCUGGCGACGAGUGGCGAACGGGUGAGUAGCGCAUCGGAACGUGCCCAGUAGUGGGGGAUAGCUCGGCGAAAGCCGGAUUAAUACCGCAUACGACCCACGGGUGAAAGCGGGGGACCGCAAGGCCUCGCGCUAUUGGAGCGGCCGAUGCCCGAUUAGCUAGUUGGUGAGGUAAAGGCUCACCAAGGCAACGGACGGUAGCUGGUCCGAGAGGACGACCAGCCACACUGGGACUGAGACACGGGACAGAAUCCUACGGGAGGGAGCAGUGGGGAAGUUUGGACAAUGGGGGAAACCCUGAUCCAGCCAUGCCGCGUGCGGGAAGAAGGCCUUCGGGUUGUAAACUGCUUUUGUACGGAACGAAACGGCUCUGGUUAAUACCUGGGGCUAAUGACGGUACCGUAAGAAUAAGCACCGGCUAACUACGUGCCAGCCGCCGCCGUAAGAC
rnacentral:rRNA from 1 species